GUCAGGAUGGCCGAGUGGUCUAAGGCGCUCGAUACAAGUUCGUGUUUCGUGAGGGGCGUGGGUUCAUAUCUCCCUUCUGACA